AACGAACGCUGGCGGCAUGCCUAACAUAUGCAAGUCGAACGAGACCUUCGGGUCUAGUGGCGCACGGGUGCGUAACGCGUGGGAACCUGCCCUUAGGUUCGGAAUAACUCCCCGAAAGGGGUGCUAAUACCGGAUAAUGUCUUCGGACCAAAGAUUUAUCGCCUUUGGAUGGGCCCGCGUUGGAUUAGCUAGUUGGUAGGGUAAAAGCCUACCAAGGCGACGAUCCAUAGCUGGUCUGAGAGGAUAUCAGCCACACUGGGACUGAGACACGGCCCAGACUCCUACGGGAGGCAGCAGUGGGGAAUAUUGGACAAUGGGCGAAAGCCUGAUCCAGCAAUGCCGCGUGAGUGAUGAAGGCCUUAGGGUUGUAAAGCUCUUUUACCCGGGAUGAUAAUGACAGUACCGGGAGAAUAAGCUCCGGCUAACUCCGUG
rnacentral:rRNA from 1 species